rnacentral:rRNA from 1 species
UACAGAGGUCCCAAGCGUUGUUCGGAUUCACUGGCGUAAAGGGUGCGUAGGCGGUCGGGUAAGUCUGAUGUGAAAUCUCACAGCUUAACUGUCGAAACUGCAUUGGAUACUAUUCGGCUUGAGAGUUGGAGGGGGGACUUGGAAUUCUUGGUGUAGCGUGAAAUGACUGUAGAUAUCAAAGAGGAACACCAGUGGCGAAGGGCGGAAGUCCCCUGGACAACUUCUGACGCUGAGGCACGAAAGCUAGGGGAGCAAACAGG